GCGGAUGUAGUGUAAAGGUAGCACGCAGGUUUUCAGUGCCUGACAUAGGAUUUCCCUCCUUGGUGCGGGUUCGAUUCCCGUCAUCCGCU
rnacentral:tRNA from 1 species